AGGCACAAGGCUGUUUUCAAGCACGUCUGGCUCCGUAGCAUACAGUAUAUCGGAAGAAGAGCCUGGGCCUCUGCGGAGCGACACAGAGGGAAAAAACACCACAAAAGUCAGCCGGACAUUCAGCUACCUCAAGAGCAAGAUGUACAAGAAGACGCGGGAAAAAGAUCGAGACAAAAGGGACAAGGACAAAGACGGCAAGGAGAAAGACAAAAAGGCUGUGAACGGACAUCUGUUUACAGCAGUCAGCUCCAACCAGUCCAUCCAGUGCUCCCAGUGCAAUAGAGCUUUUA